GACGGAGAAUGCAAGCGUUAUCCGGAAUGAUUGGGCGUAAAGCGUCCGCAGGUGGCAGUUCAAGUCUGCUGUCAAAGACCGGGGCUUAACUUCGGAAAGGCAGUGGAAACUGAACAGCUAGAGUAUGGUAGGGGCAGAGGGAAUUCCUGGUGUAGCGGUGAAAUGCGUAGAGAUCAGGAAGAACAUCGGUGGCGAAGGCGCUCUGCUGGACCAUAACUGACACUCAGGGACGAAAGCUAGGGGAGCGAAUGGG
rnacentral:rRNA from 1 species